AGGACGAACGCUGGCGGCGUGCCUAAUACAUGCAAGUCGAACGGUCUUUCUAUGGAAGCUUGCUUCCACUGAGAAGAUAGUGGCGAACGGGUGAGUAACACGUGGGUAACCUGCCCAUAAGAGGGGGAUAACAUCCGGAAACGGGUGCUAAUACCGCAUAGUUUUCUUGAUCGCAUGAUCGGGAAAGGAAAGACGGCCUUUGUGCUGUCGCUUGUGGAUGGACCCGCGGCGUAUUAGUUAGUUGGUGAGGUAACGGCUCACCAAGACGAUGAUACGUAGCCGACCUGAGAGGGUGAUCGGCCACAUUGGGACUGAGACACGGCCCAAACUCCUACGGGAGGCAGCAGUAGGGAAUCUUCCGCAAUGGACGAAAGUCUGACGGAGCAACGCCGCGUGAGUGAAAGAAGGUUUUCGGAUCGUAAAACUCUGUUGUCAGAGAAGAACAAGUUGGAGAGUAACUGCUCCAGCCUUGACGGUAUCUGACCAGAAAGCCACGGCUAACUACGUGCCAGCCGCCGC
rnacentral:rRNA from 1 species